GACGAACGCUGGCGGCGUGCUUAACACAUGCAAGUCGAACGGAAAGGCCCUGCUUUUGUGGGGUGCUCGAGUGGCGAACGGGUGAGUAACACGUGAGUAACCUGCCCUUGACUUUGGGAUAACUUCAGGAAACUGGGGCUAAUACCGGAUAGGAGCUCCUGCUGCAUGGUGGGGGUUGGAAAGUUUCGGCGGUUGGGGAUGGACUCGCGGCUUAUCAGCUUGUUGGUGGGGUAGUGGCUUACCAAGGCUUUGACGGGUAGCCGGCCUGAGAGGGUGACCGGCCACAUUGGGACGGAGAUACGGCCCAGACUCCUACGGGAGGCAGCAGUGGGGAAUAUUGCACAAUGGGCGGAAGCCUGAUGCAGCAACGCCGCGUGCGGGAUGACGGCCUUCGGGUUGUAAACCGCUUUCGCCUGUGACGAAGCGUGAGUGACGGUAAUGAGUAAAGAAGCACCGGCUAACUACGUG
rnacentral:rRNA from 1 species